AAUAGGGAUACCAGAAGGAGAAGAAGAGCAAGGGAUAGAAAACCUAUUUGAAAAAAGUAAUGAUGGAAAUCUUCCCCAAUUUAUGAGA